GGAGGAAAGCAGGGGAUCGCAAGACCUCAUGCUCGUGGAGCGGCCGAUAUCUGAUUAGCUAGUUGGUAGGGUAAAAGCCUACCAAGGCAUCGAUCAGUAGCUGGUCUGAGAGGACGACCAGCCACACUGGAACUGAGACACGGUCCAGACUCCUACGGGAGGCAGCAGUGGGGAAUUUUGGACAAUGGGCGAAAGCCUGAUCCAGCAAUGCCGCGUGAGUGAAGAAGGCCUUCGGGUUGUAAAGCUCUUUUGUCAGGGAAGAAACGGUGAAAGCUAAUAUCUUUUGCUAAUGACGGUACCUGAAGAAUAAGCACCGGCUAACUACGUGCCAGCAGCCGCGGUAAUACGUAGGGUGCAAGCGUUAAUCGGAAUUACUGGGCGUAAAGCGUGCGCAGGCGGUUUUGUAAGUCUGAUGUGAAAUCCCCGGGCUCAACCUGGGAAUUGCGUUUGAAACUACAAGGCUAG
rnacentral:rRNA from 1 species